AUUUCGCACGAAGUUGCUCAUAUGAGUCGCGUAGCUUGUGAAUGCUGCGCUAAGUCGGUGGUAAAUCUCAUCGAAGGCUAAAUACUGGUAGGAGACCGAUAGUGAACAAGUACCGUGAGGGAAAGAUCAAAAGCACUUUGAAAAGAGGGUGAAAAGAACCUGAAACCGUUACGACAGAAGCGUAUUGCGUUGAAUUGAGGGCUGUUUAACUCUUCAGCUGAACGUGAGUUUAGUGUACUGAGUUAAGUAGUUAUCCGUCGUGCCUUUUCUGUGGCUGAUAUUGAGCCGCGGGAGAGGGAGGGAUCCCCUUUAUGGGUGAGGACGAUGGAGUGGCAACGCGAUGCGACCCGUCUUGAAACACGGACCAAGGAGUCUAACAUGUUUGCGAGUUGAAGGGUAGUAAACCUGGAGGCGCAGUGAAAGCGAACUUCUAAAACGGACAGUUUGUGGCGGCAUAAAAUCGUUGAUUUUAGGUCUGACUAAGAGCAAAUAUGUUAGGACCCGAAAGAUGGUGAACUAUGCUUGAGUAGGCCGAAGGCAGAAGAAAUUCUGCUGGAGGGCCGAAGCGGUGCUGACGUGCAAAUCGCUCGUCGAACUCGAGUAUAGGGGCGAAAGACUAAUCGAACCAUCUAGUAGCUGGUUCCCUCCGAAGUUUCUCUCAGGAUAGCGGGCCGACAAUUAUUGUUUUGUGCGGUAAAGCGAAUGAUUAGCGCACUCGGGGGCAUUCAGUCUUCGGUCGAUUCUCAAACUUUUAAUGCGCAAGGGGGCUGCAGCUUAGGUGUGCGGCUCCUCUAAAAAUGUCGGCCUUGUGGGCCACUUUUGGUAAGCAGAACUGGCGAUGUGGGAUGAACCAUACGCGUGGUUAAGGCGCCAAAUUACUCGCUUAUAGACCCC
rnacentral:rRNA from 1 species